rnacentral:sRNA from 1 species
ACUGGGCAUGGUGGUGCAUGCCUUUAAUCCCAGUGACUCAGGAGGCUGAGGCAGGAGGAUCACAAGUUCAAAAACAACCUUAGCAAAUUAGCAAGGCCCUAGGGACUUAGUGAGAUGCUGUCUCAA